ACCGGUGGCCCACAACGGUGACGGUCUAACUUCUAUGGUCAGCAGGCAUGGAGCUGAGUUGGUGGUGCUAGUGCACUGUGUGGUGUUGUGCAUAUAGCAAGAUGGCAAGGUGCAUGCAGGUCGGGCCAGUAUGGCUAGAUGGGCAGGGUUAGUGAGGAGGGGCUUACGUGGCUCGGUAUCCAGAAGUAGGGGAGGGCUCCUCCGCACAUGCGCCACAGUUCGUGGGAAAUGACGACAUAUAUGGGCCACUAUUGUACGAUCGAAUAAGACCAAACAAACAUACCAGAGAGGGUGAAUAGUAGAGAAAACAAAAAAACCCAAAAACUUUUAGUGAAAAUAAAAGUUACCUUCAAAUUGAUAGAGAUCUCGACAUAGCCCAUCUUGUCUAUCAUGUAAGCGAUAUCUUGUGAGAGUGAGUGCAGCCGAGGAGAAGAUUACCGCCUGAUAAAGCUUUCCCUAAUUGAUUUUAAGGAAGCUUUGGUGAGAUUGCUAUUGUUGCUGGUGGGUGUGAUAAGAAUGGACAGGUGCUGAAAUCUGCCGAGCUGUACAAUUCAGAGACUGGUCAUUGGGAGACUUUACCAGACAUGAACUUGGCGAGGAGGCUCUCAUCCGGUUUCUUCUUGGAUGGUUUCUACAGUUUCCAAGCCUGCUGGAUUUCCCGACCAUCCGCAUAGAGGAUUCGAGACCAUCACCUACAUGCUCGACAUGAUAUAGGCAAUUGUCAAAGUUGCAUCUGCCUGCAGCGAAAGUAAUCCCUAUCCCUAUGUUUUGUGGUUCUCCCUGUUUUUUGUAUUAGUCAUUGAGAAGUGCCAUCAGGCUUAGUUCUACUCGAUGUCAAUAAAAUUCAGAGUCAUCUUCCUGUUCCUCUUUUUUGUAGAGUAUAAGGAUAUUGUGAUCGAAAAGAGUUUAGGCACUGUGAUUUGGCUUCUAAAGAGACCUCAUGGUUUUGAGGCAUCAAAACAAAAGGCUCAUUCAUUCUGUUGUGCAUGAAACCAAUUGGUCUAAUUCCUGUGUCUGUAGAUUCUAUAGUUUCAAACUGCAGCAAAGAACAGACUACAAUUAUAGAAAUGUUGGCUUCCCAGUUCGUAAUGAAGAUGUGCGUAUCCCAGUGAACUGUACUCUCAGUGUCUGUAGUUUUAAUCUACAUUGGUGGCAAUGUCUACCUUAUAAUCUUACAAACUUCAGUCACAAAAUAAUCUUGCUACCUGAUUUUAGGUUCUAACAUUGUGUUUUUCAGAACAUCCAUGAAUAGGAGUGAAGCAUCUGUGCUGGUUUAAUUAUACAUUCAAGCAUCAACUUCAGGAUCUGUACCAUCUAUGUAUAUCAUCUUUCUGUUAUUGAUUGAUCAACCAAAUAAAUAUGUUCCUAGCUAUUGUAACUUUGGUUAUUGCUUUAACUGACAUGAACCAUGAAUUGCUUGUAUGCUAAUUAUUAAUUGUAACCUCUUUACUGAAA